rnacentral:lncRNA from 1 species
AUAAAAUAACUGUGUUACAACCACCUGCUGGACUUAUUGAGGAAAUUCAAAGAAAACUUGUGACUUUUUUUGGUCUGGGCAACACUGGAUUCGUGCUGCUGCUUUAUACCUUCCUGUUCAAGAGGGGGGUCAAGGAUUGAUAGACAUCAGAUCCAGAAUUAUGGCUUUCCGGUUACAAGCAGCUCAGAGACUGUUGUAUCACACAGAUGUAUCAUGGCUAAAGACAGCUUCUGCUCUUCUCAGGCGGGUCAAAAGUAUGGGAUUGGACAAACAUUUGUUCUUAAUGGAGCUCCAGAAUGAUGAUCGUGCGAAUCUUACAUCUUUCUAUAAGUCAGUUCUGGAAGCAUGGAAAGUGUUUACCAUUUCACGCUCAUCAGAUACACAUGCUGGAUUAUGGCUUUUUGAAGAGCCACUUUUUCUUAAUGAUUUUCUACCUUCAAGACUUAUGUCUGGUCUCAGUCUGCGUGCAUGUUUAACUGCUGCUGGAUGCACAAAGUUGGGACAUAUUUUGAAUACAAGCAUAGAGGAACUGAGUAAAAGGACUGGGGUGAGAUCCUUGCGGCUGCUGAAACAAGCUACUACUGAAAUAUUUAAGUCUUUGCAUGUGGAUUAUAAGACCUUGACAAAUGACUCGGAAGCAAUUGAUCAAUGGAGAAAGGGGAUUCCUUAUGUUUUCCCCUCUCUUAAUGUAACUAUUACUGUGGGAGAAUGGCAAGAUGAUGGGAAGAGUCUUUUGUCUUUUAAAACACCUCAGCUUGGAGUUUUUGAGGAAGUAGGGAAAAAAGCCCUCUAUAUUUCCUGUGUAAAAUCAUCUAAUGCUAAUCUUUUGAGUGGACUUCCUUCAACAAAAUGGACUGAAUUUUUUGGAACUGUUUCUUCCCCUAGAGGCUGCUGGCGGUCCUUAUACAAACGCCCAAUUGAUAAAAGAACAGGCGACCUUCAGUGGAGGAUUGUACAUGGGGCGAUAGCCACAAACAGAUACGUGGUGCACAUUGAUCCUUCUGUAGGGGUGGGUUGUCCCUUCUGUACAGAGGUUGAAACGGUUUUUCAUUUAUUUGUACAGUGUACUCGGU